rnacentral:lncRNA from 1 species
GAAAUUUCAAACAAACAAUAAAAUUCUUAAAGAAAUAUUAGAAUGAUCACAAAUUUUAUUCAAAUAUAUGUCAAUUCAACCUUAAUUUAAUUCUAGUUAAAACCCUAUUGAAUUUCAUUCAACUUUAGACCAAACCUAAUUAAAUCUUAAAUCCUAAUAAUUCCUAAAUCCUAAGUCAAAUCCUAAACAAAUCUUAAAUUAAACCCUAUUCCAAAUCCUAAACUCUAAACCAAAUCCUAAAUUAAACCCUAAAUCAAACCCUAAUCCAACUCUAAACCCUAAAUCAAACUUUAAAUCAAAUCCUAACCAAAUCCUAAUCCAAAUCCUAAAUAAAAUCCUAACCAAACCCUAAACCCUAAUCCAAACCCUAAUCCAACCCUAAACUCUAAUCCAAAUCCUAAAUCCUAAACCAAAUCCUAAAUCAAACCCUAAUCAAAUCCUAAAUCCUAAUCCAAAUCCUAAAUCAAACCCUAACCAAACCCUAAAUCAAAUCCUAACCAAAUCUUAAACCCUAAUCCAAACCCUAAUCCAAACCCUAAUCCAAAUCCUAGUCCAAAUCCUAAUCCAAAUCCUAAACCGAACCCUAGCCAAAUCCUAAUCCAAAUCCUAGUAAUUCCUAUGACAG